ensembl:snoRNA SNORA71 Small nucleolar RNA SNORA71
ACCUGCAUUCAAAAGUGACCAUGGGCUUGCUUGUGCUCUGGGCAUCCAUAAUGCAGGGAAAAGAAUUGCUGAAAGUCAUGUUUCCUGUGUUUGGAGGGCCCACUCCCAUUCCUCUCAAAUGCUGGCACUUUUCACACA